rnacentral:tRNA from 1 species
GCCACCCUGGCGAAAUGGUAGACGCAGUGGAUUCAAAAUCCACCGUCCGUAAGGACUUCCCGGUUCAAGUCCGGGGGGGGGUACCA